CAUUGAAUGGCUGAAAUAUAAAGCAAUGGUCUCUUAAACCACACUAUAGUAAAUAAAUACUUUCAAUGA
rnacentral:tRNA from 1 species